UCCCUCGCUUUUCUUUUUUUAUUUCUUUUUUUUUUUUUUAUUUUAUUUUAUUCCCUUCCAUCAUUCCUUAAGUCCCAUAGGGUUGAUCCUAUAGAAUCUGAUCCAUUUUCUCGUUUGAGCGAAGGGUACGAAAUAGAUCGGAUUGAUUUUUCGAUCAAAAGUACUAUGUGAAAUCUUCGGUUUUUUCCUCUUUCUCUAUCCUUAUCCCAUAGGUACAGCAUUUGAAUCAAUAGAGAACUUUUUCUUCUGUAUCUAUAUGAAUCGAUAUUAUUCCAUUCCAAUUCCUUCCCGAUACCUCCCAAGGAAAAUCCCGAAUUGGAUCCCAAAUUGACGGGUUAGUGUGAGCUUAUCCAUGCGGUUAUGCACUCUUCGAAUGGGAAUCCUUUUUCUGAAAGAUCCUGGCUUUCGUGCUUUGGUGGGUCUCCGAGAUCCUUUCGACGACCUAUGUUGUGUUGAAGGGAUAUCUAUAUGAUCCGAUCGAUUGUGUAAAGCCCGCCGGUAGCAACGGAACGGGGGAAAGUAUACAUAAGUAUACAGAAAAGACAGUUUCUUUUCUAUUAUAUUAGUAUUUUCUAUUCUAUUAGUAUUAGAUUAGUAUUAGUUAGCGAUCCCGGCUCAGCGAGUCCUUUCUUCCUGUUGGCACCAGUCCUACAUUUUGUCUCUGUGGACCGAGGAGAAAG
rnacentral:lncRNA from 1 species